rnacentral:rRNA from 1 species
AACGAACGCUGGCGGCGUGGAUAAGACAUGCAAGUCGAGCGAGAUUUUUUCUUGUAGCAAUACAGGGAAAAGUCUAGCGGCGAACGGGUGCUUAACACGUGGGCAACCUGCCGUGAAGUGGGGGAUAGCUCGCCGAAAGGCGAAUUAAUACCGCAUGUGAUUAGAGAGGACAUCCUUUCAAAAUUAAAGUCGGGGCAACCUGACGCUUCUUGUGGGGCCCGCGGCCUAUCAGCUAGUUGGUGAGGUAACGGCUCACCAAGGCUUUGACGGGUAGCUGGUCUGAGAGGACGACCAGCCACACUGGGACUGAGACACGGCCCAGACACCUACGGGUGGCAGCAGUCGAGAAUUUUGGACAAUGGGGGAAACCCUGAUCGAGCGACGCCGCGUGGAGGAUGAAGGUCUUCGGAUUGUAAACUCCUGUCAUUGGGGAACAAGGUGCAUACGUUAACUGCGUGUGCAUUGAUAGUACCCGAAGAGGAAGAGACGGCUAACUCUGUGCCAGCAGCCGCGGUAAUACAGAGGUCUCAAGCGUUGUUCGGAUUCAUUGGGCGUAAAGGGUGCGUAGGCGGCGCGGUAAGUCGGGUGUGAAAUCUCGGGGCUUAACUCCGAAACUGCAUUCGAUACUGCCGUGCUUGAGGACUGGAGAGGAGACUGGAAUUUACGGUGUAGCGGUGAAAUGCGUAGAUAUCGUAAGGAAGACCAGUGGCGAUGGCGGGUCUCUGGACAGUUCCUGACGCUGAGGCACGAAGGCCAGGGGAGCAAACGGGAUUAGAUACCCCGGUAGUCCUGGCAGUAAACGGUGCACGUUUGGUGUGGGAGGAUUCGACCCCUUCUGCGCCGGAGCUAACGCGUUAAACGUGCCGCCUGGGGAGUACGGUCGCAAGAUUA